CCCAGCUCGUCAUGCAAGAGCACGUUUUCAAUGGGCUCCCCAACGACAAGGCGACAACGCAUUCAUAUGACAUCCAUAUCAACUUUCGUUGCCAUUUACUGCGUCUACCAUUGUGACCACAGGUAACAGGGAAUCAGGGUUCAAGUCCUGAGAAGGAGCCUGAGAAACGGCUACCACAUGCAAGGAAGGCAGCAGGCGCGCAAAUGACCAACUCGCACAGGUAGUGACG
rnacentral:rRNA from 1 species